GGAAUAUUGCACAAUGGGGGAAACCCUGAUGCAGCGACGCCGCGUGAAGGAAGAAGUAUCUCGGUAUGUAAACUUCUAUCGACAGGGAAGAUAAUGACGGUACCUGAAUAAGAAGCCCCGGCUAACUACGUGCCAGCAGCCGCGGUAAUACGUAGGGGGCAAGCGUUAUCCGGAUUUACUGGGUGUAAAGGGAGCGUAGACGGCUUGGCAAGUCUGAUGUGAAAGGCUGGGGCUUAACCCCGGGAGUGCAUUGGAAACUGUCUGGCUAGAGUGCCGGAGGGGUAAGCGGAAUUCCUAGUGUAGCGGUGAAAUGCGUAGAUAUUAGGAGGAACACCAGUGGCGAAGGCGGCUUACUGGACGGCAACUGACGUUAAGGCUCGAAAGCGUGGGGAGCAAACA
rnacentral:rRNA from 1 species